rnacentral:snRNA from 1 species
AAAACUUUUUUCGAAAGAAAAAAAAAUCUGUUCUUAUCAGUUUAAUAUCUGAUACGUCUCCUACCCGGGGACUACAUAUUAAAUUGAUUUUUGGAUCACGGAGCUGGAGCCGGGGCUUGCUCUGUCCACUCCACGCAUCGGCCUGGUAUUGCAGUGUCUCCAGGAACGGUGUGCUUCCC